rnacentral:rRNA from 1 species
AACGAACGCUGGCGGCGUGGAUUAGGCAUGCAAGUCGAACGUGAUUCCCGCAAAUAGCAAUAUUGGCGGGAUGAAAGUGGCGGAAGGGUGAGUAACGCGUGGGCAAUCUGCCUUCAAGUUGGGGAUAGCUCUGCGAAAGCGGAAUUAAUACCGAAUGUGGUCGUCCCGCGCAGGCGGGAUUAUCUAAAGCCGGGGACCGUAAGGCCUGGCGCUUGAGGAUGGGCCCGCGUCCUANCAGCUUGUUGGUGAGGUAACGGCUCACCAAGGCUAAGACGGGUAGCUGGUCUGAGAGGAUGGUCAGCCACACUGGGACUGAGAUACUGCCCAGACUCCUACGGGAGGCUGCAGUCGAGGAUCAUUUGCAAUGGGCGAAAGCCUGACAAUGCGACGCCGCGUGCAGGAUGAAGGCCUU